CCCUUAGAUGUUCUGGGCUGCACGCGUGCUACACUGAUAUUGCCAAUAUGUCAUUCUUAUCCGAAAUGGAUUGGGUAAUCAAGUAAUGAAAUUUCAUGCUUGGAAUCGGUAAUUGCAAUUUUAUCGUGAACGAGGAAUUCCUAGUAAGCACUAGUCAUCAGCUAAUGUUGAUUAUGUCCCUGCCCUUUGUACACACCGCCCGUCGCUACUACUGAUUGGGUGUUCAAGUGAGAUGCUUAGACCCUUGUUGCAUGGUUUAUUAUUGUGCUCCGAAAGGAAAAAGUUUCAAGCUUGAGUGUCUAGAGGAAGUAAAAGUCGUAACA
rnacentral:rRNA from 1 species